CAUUUACAAUCCUUUGUACAAAACAAAAAUAAGUUUCGAUUACAAGAGAUCUUUCUUAGCUUGUACAUUUACAAUCAUUUGUACAAAACAAAAAUAAGUUUCAAAUCAAAGAUUAAUGACUCGAUCCUUUAAACUGUUUGUCACUAUGUUCCUUUUGUUGGUCCUCCUUACUUCUACUGCUACGGUCACAAGACAAGCAGAGACAAGCCCAAUUAGGGUUGGAGAAGUGAAUGGUAAGGGCAAGAAGUGCUUUGGCAAUGUAAAGGACUGCAAUGAUGAUAAAUGUGAUGCAUUAUGCAAGAAACGAGGCUCUAAGGCAGGCAUGUGUGUGUACCCUGAUUGUUGUUGUGCAUGAUUGAAUACACAUAUAUCAUGUACUGUUUUGUAAUGUCCAGAGGAGUGUUUUAAAUAAAUAUGAAUAUUACUAAAGGACUUUUUUUAUAA